UGUCAUUUUAAUAAGAUCUCCUCUGGAAUCAUUAAUAAGAUCUCUGGAGCUUGCUCGAGUGAUUCGUAUGCCAGGACUGAAAAUGUUUAUGGAGUGGGAUGACUCCUGUAUGCUGAGAGUCCUUUAUACGCUCACCUUUUGAUGGGGAAUUGGAGAAACAGGUGGAUACAAAACGCUCUCCUGUAUUCCCCACUGCACCGCCGGUGCAGCAGGAGAGCCCAUGGUCCCCAUGCAGGGCAAUAUCAAGCACUGCCAUAUAGUUGCUUCAUAGGGACAACGUAGAGGGAAGGAUAUUGAGAUAGAUUUUUCCAUGCUUCAACAAGAGUAAUGCACAUGGAGCAUUCCUCUUGCCCCAUCCACCUACUUGGUGGAAGAAUACCUGGGCUCUCUGCUAUCACAUGCUGGAGACCCCACUGCAGAACACCUGCCUUCCUACCCUGCUGCUCCAUGCUUCAGCAAGGGGUUGUACCUUCAGCUUCAAAGGCAUGCCUUUAAACUCCCUGUAACUGGAGACUCAUUUUUCAUGCUGAAUGAGAUAAAAUUCCCACUGUUACCUCAUUUACAUCUCAAUGCUGGUAGGUUAUAGAUGGCUAUUAUUUAUAUAUGUGUAAGACAUCCAUUUCUUAUUCUGUGGAAUACAGUAAGAAGAAAAAUACUCAUCCCUCCUGUUCACCUUCUCUGGAUUGUCGUUUCUAUUUUUUUUUAUUUUUUUUAAUCCCUUGCUCAAGUUUGACUGUUGCUGAGAAUUUGCAAAUAAAUAAAGGAACUAACAGCCCCAUAAAAGCUGAUUGUUUCCCCCUCCUGCAAAGAUUGUCUUUGUGAAGAAGAUUAAAAAUCCUCCCGUGCUGCACAAGACAAAGGUAUCCCUGGGCGAGAAUAAGACAUAAAAGAGGUUACUACAUAUAUCUCUUGGCUGUGCGGACUGCUAAUUCACACUGUUGUCAUCCCUCCUUGCCCAUCUUUCCUCCUUCUUUCCUUUAUCAUGAAAGGAAGAGUUAGCUCUGCAGUUGCUGAAGGUAACUUUGGAAGGAACAGUUGCAGCGUGAGCAGGAAUAUUUGCUUUCCCAGCCAGCAGCAGUGAGACCAGUCCCCCGAGGCCAUGGGUGAAGGAAAUUGGAUGAAGAGAACAUGUCUGCUCAGAGCUGGAUAGAAGCCUGUGGCCUGGACCCGUACAAUCUUUGCUGGGUAAAGAGCUGGCUAUAGGUCCAGGCCCAGAGAGUGGUGGUGAAUGGAGUUAAACCCAGCUGGUAAUGGGUCACUGGGGUCAGUACUGGGACCUGUCCUGUUCCAUAUCUUCAUUGAUGACCUAGGCAAGGAGAUUGAGUGUACCCUCAGUAAGUUUGCAGAUGACACCAAGCUGGUAGGAAGGGCCUUCAGAGGGAUCUGGACAGGCUGGAUCACUGGGCUGAGGCCAAUGAGAUGAAGUUCAACAAGACCAAGUACCAGGUCCUGCAUUUUGGCCACAACAAAGCUGGAGCACUAGUCUUAUGGGGAAUACCUGAUAGAACUAGGAUGGCUCAGUCUGGAGAUAGGAGGAACAGGGGAAACCUUGUCGCUCUGUACAACUCCUGAAAGGAUGCGAUAUUAAGUUGAGAGUCAGCCUCUGCUCCCAGGUAACAGCAAUAGGACAAGAGGUGACAGCCUUAAGUUGUGGCAAGGGAGGUUCAGGAUGGAAAGAGCCAUGGUACAGUGGCACAGGUUGCCCAGGGAAGUGGGAGAGUCACUGUCCCUGGAGAUGCUGAAGAAAAGCAGGGAUGCAACACUGAAAGACGUG
ensembl:lncRNA